rnacentral:tRNA from 1 species
GCAUUAGUAGCUCAAUUUCAAAGCAUCGGUCUUGUAAUCCGAAGCCGGAGGUUAAAAUCCCCCCUAAUGCC